CGCGUAGGUAAUGCAGAGGUGAACCCUAUCCAAGUAAAUACCACGUAUCAAAUCUGGAGCCCUGUCAGCCGGAGCAAUGCCGGGCUUUUAGAGAGGGUUUCAAACACAGACAGAGUGGCCUGCAGUGGAAGUUUUAACACGGGGGAAAACAUUUAUUGGACAACCAACGAUAAGACGAAGAUAAACUGCCACAAGUGUUUUGCCUUCGUAUUCAACCACGCAGGAGAACAAUACGCAUUGAAAGGAAAUAAAGAACGAAGAACAAUCACAACCGAAGUUAAGGAAAAUAUUCAUGACGAGAGCGACAUUUUUCAGGUUAUAUCCAUCGAGGGAGGGAUCUUCUCGUUGAUAAAACUCUAUGGUAGCAAACUCUACUUGGCAUGCGACCAAGAUGGCAAUGUAACUUUAGUUGAAGAUAAGUAUCCGGAGAAUCCCAGCCCUCAAAUUCUUUUCAGCUUUGGCAAAGUAGGUGUAGUCAGUGACAACUGAAGUUUCAUGGCUGUUUUCUCUGUUGAGUCAGCUUCUAUGGACGAAGCUAUGGACGGUUUUCUUAAUUCCAGCAUUGUAAGGCUUAGAGAUAUAUAUUGUGUAACAGGUAGAUAUCUGACAUAAGGAACCUUAAGCAGUCAGGACGGCAACGCCAAGGAAGACUUUGAUUAAAAUAUAAAUUUCUACCCGUAAUUAGAAUUUCAAAAAUGGCUGCGUGUGUUUACCGUCUCAUACCGCGCCACACCUCAACUUCAGCAUAACGUAUCAAAUAUUAAAGAAGCGUUGAGUUCCAAAUAGAAAUUAAAAUAAUUUGCCGUUGCGGUUUCGGUUCGCAGACGACGCAAAUUGUGGUGAUUUCACGUUGUUGUUUUGUAUAGGACGGCUCAGAAAUGUACAAACGCACGUGCUGAGCUGUAUCUUUUGUUUUCCAUGUCCUCGUUGCCGUCGCCGUCGUGGUUUGCAGAAGGUGAACCGCCACUGCAUGUUUUUUGGCCUUGAUUGGUUUUAUUUUUCAUUAUUGUCUUUAUGGUAUACUCAUACUCAUUAUAGAAUUGAUAUUAUUAUGUAUUCAACUCACUAUCUCUUUUCUAAUUGGCCGAAAGUGUUCAAUGAAUUUUCGAAAUCAGCGCCUAGGACGUCAUCUACCUGCAGAUUUUACAAUAGGGACCUUAAGCAGUCAGGACGGCAACGCCAGUGAAGACUUCAAUUAAAAAAUGAAUUUCUGCCGUUAAUUAGAAUUUAAAAAAAAACUGAAUGUGUUCACCGUCUCAUACGGCGCCACACCUCAACUUCAGCAUAACGUAUAAAAGAAGCGUUGAGUCCCAAAUGGAAAUUAAAAUAUGUACCGUCGCGGUUUCGGUUUGCAGACGACGCAAUUUGUGAUGAUUUCACGUUGUUGUUUUGCAUGGGACGGCUAUGAAAUGUACAAAAUUUUCAAACGCGCGUGCUGAGCUAUUGUUUUGUUAAUUAAAUCUAUUGUUUUUCCAUGUCCUCGUUGCCGUCGCCGUCGUGGUUUGCUUAAGGUCCCUAAUAACAUGUCAAGGUCACUCAAGGUCAUGGGUAAUCAUGUCAUGUAAGACCGCGGUGCGUGAUUUCGAAGGGCAGUCAUAUCAACUUCGCGCGCUUUGAGUUGCUAGCCGUCAGUGGAAAAGCAAAAACAUGACUUUCAGGUUUGCUUUUUUGACCGAGCAUGACUUCGAAAAAAUAGUAGUAUUUCGCUUUUUAUAACUGUAGAGUUCUCUUCAGUUAAACUUAAUUAUGGCUAUUUAUUUUCUAAACCAGCUUUUAUUCAAUUUUUCACAUAUUGUCUAAAGCUUAGAAUUUCUUGUCAGUCGAAUUAUAU